GUACAAUUUAAUUUUUCUGGGAAAUUAAUUGCUCAUAAGAUAGGAAGUUGCCGAAAGUUACAAAAAUGUAAACUUAGACAACUAAAGCCCUAUAAAGUAUAACAGUAAUGUUUUCAUGACACUCCUCAUUGACAUCCACACUUUAUAAUUUGCUUUUACUUAUAUUUUUAAUAACAAAAAUAUUAUUUUAUUAUAUAAAAUAUUAAAAAUGUCUUAUCAUGAUUAAAAAUAUUAUUUUAUUAUAUAAAAUAUUAAAAAUGUCUUAUCAUGUCAUUUGUUUUUUUGUAGUAAUUUUCCUUACUCCACUUUAGCCUCCCUAUUUUUUUAAACAUCUUCCCUCUCUAACUUUUUUUUCUUCAAAAUUUUCAUUCUUCCUCUCACGUCAUCUGUCUCCCUCUUCCAAGGGAGCAAAUGACAGCGAUAGUGGGAGGCGAGUUGUUGAUGGACGAAAUUGGUGAAUAACGGUGAUGGUUUCUCUCUCUCUCUUUGAAUGAUGGUGGUGUAUUGCGGUGGUGGUUGGCGACGUUUAAAAUCUGGAUUGUUGAUGAUAAUAGUAAUGACGGUGGCGGGUGAAGGUGUGUGUAAUAGAUAUGAGAUCGUCGGUGCCUUAAUCUUCCUUGCUAUCAAAUAAAAAAUAAUAUCUCAUUUUAAUUUUAUUUUACAAAGUAAUAGAUUAAUAUCCACAUGUCUAUAUUUAAGUGAGUUAGAUAUGGAAUGAGAUACAAAUUGAGGAUAAAAAAUCUCUAUUUAUGUGUAAUAGUCUUGACAACAUUCAACAUUGUUGGUAAAUUCAAGGGAUAAUGUUGGUAACUUUCAUAAUUUGUUGAUAACCGAAAAACAUGUUACUUAGAUAAUAAAUUAUCUUUAUACCAGAAAAUAAACUAUUUUAUUCAACAAUUAAAAUUUAAGAUCGUGACAUUUCUACUAUUUUUCUUCGGUUUUUAGAUAUAUUUUUAUAAAAAUAAUAAAUAUGAUAUAUAUUAUGAUUUUUGUGGCGAGAUGAGAUAAAUUUAUGAUAUGUUUAUGGGUUGUGGUGAGUGGUGGGGAUGAUUAUGAAAGCUGAUAAUGAUUGAGGUUGUUGGUAGCAAAAUGGAUGUUAUUGAUGACAAGGAGUCAAAAUGCAGUUGUGGUGUUGGUAAAUAAGGAGUCUUUGUGAUGUCAAUGAAAGCGGUAAUACAAGGUGGUGAUGGUUUUGUAAGUGUUAAUAAUAAUGGGCUAAUUGGUGGUAACUUUGGGUAAAAGAGUUGCUAACUUUUAGAAUUGGUCAUAACUUAAAAAUAUAACUUCUAAAUAAUAAAUAACAUAAUAAUUUUGUGUUUACCUUCUCAGAAAUAUAAUAUUAAUUUAGUGAAUAAAUAUUAGAGAAUUUACAUUCAAUAUUGCUAAGGGUUUUC